rnacentral:rRNA from 1 species
UGGGGAAUAUUGCACAAUGGACGGAAGUCUGAUGCAGCGACGCCGCGUGGGGGAUGAAGGCUUUCGGGUUGUAAACUCCUUUCAGUACAGAAGAAGCUUUAUUGUGACGGUAUGUGCAGAAGAAGCGCCGGCUAACUACGUGCCAGCAGCCGCGGUAAUACGUAGGGCGCGAGCGUUGUCCGGAAUUAUUGGGCGUAAAGAGCUCGUAGGCGGUUUGUCGCGUCUGCUGUGAAAGACCGGGGCUUAACUCCGGGGCUGCAGUGGGUACGGGCAGGCUGGAGUGCGGUAGGGGUAACCGGAAUUCCUGGUGUAGCGGUGGAAUGCGCAGAUAUCAGGAGGAACACCGGUGGCGAAGGCGGGUCUCUGGGCCGUUACUGACGCUGAGGAGCGAAAGCGUGGGGAGCGAACAGG